UUGGCAUAAACAACCAUCAUCAUCAUCUCAGCCCACCACACUGCCACCAUCCUCGCAACAACAACAACAGCAAGCAACAACAACAACAAUAUCAAAAAUCGCAGCAAAGAACAGAGCAAAAACAUAGUAAACAGGUUCGACCGAACCCAUAACGGAGUUCGACCGAACCAAAAAUUUAGAGUUCCUGACAAGGCCGGGUCCUUCCGAACCUCCAUUGAUUUCGCCCAAACCAGAACGAAGUCCGACCGAACCUCCAUUGAGUCCGACCGAACAUUUGAGCGCUGAAUUCUUGUACGGAAUUAAUGAAAUUGGACGGCUGUGAUUGGUUAAGGUUAGCAGCGAAUUUCGGCCGUCGGAUUGAAUUUGAUGAUAAUAAUGAUCGUUGAUGAUGGUUGAGGAUGGACGGUGAUGAUGGUGGAGUUGGGAAGAUGAAGAGCUGCGAAGGUCGAAGAUGAGGGGAUAAAAAGCAACAGCGUCGAAGAAAAGGAAAAGGGGAGUACGAAAUCCCGAACCUUUUAAAUGCACGCAAUUGGAGUACUGUGCAAUUGGAGUACUGUUCUUAAGCACAGUACUUCACGUGCGAAACGCGUGCCAAUUUUUUUUAAAAACUUUUUCUCCCUUUCUCUCCUUUCUAUUGGUUACCUGAUCCUUCUCUCUCUUUUCUUACGUUAUUUUUUACUCAGUACUACUCAUUUCCUUCUCUCUCCUCCAUUGUUGUACUCUUCAUCUAUUUCUUCGUCCCUGUGACCCUUCCUUGUCGCUACUCCAUUUCGAUCUCUCUUCACUAAAUAAUUCGUCUGGUAUUGUAUAUAGGUGAAUAUGACCUUAUUCUGCAAUUAAUUACUGAUUCAUCGGAGUUUCUGGGAGCUUGAUUAUGACGAAGAAACGAAGCAUCACUUCAUAAAUCUGAAAAUAUUGAAGGUGCACGUGCUCGGGUUUUGGAGCACCAAUUGAAAGGGCCUAAGAAAUUGUACAAUAUGGUCGAGAAAACAACUUAACCUACACCACCCUAUAUCCAAUCCUACACCACAUCACAGGCCUGUUGCAUCAACAUACCAACACCAAUCCUCCCUCCCCUGCUCCGGCCUACAACCACCUUCAUCUUCCAACUACUCUCUCCUGCCACCUCACUCCUACACCAACAACUCCAGCAACGCACCUCCCUCGCAACACCAGUCCAACCCCUGCUGCCACCCUCCACCAACACCGUCAUCAUCUCAGCCCACCACACUGCCACCAUCCUCGCAACAACAACAACAGCAAGCAACAACAACAACAAUAUAAAAGAUCGCAGCAAAAAACAGAGCAAAAACAGAGUAAACAGGUUCGACCGAACCCGUAACGGAGUUCGACCGAACUAAAAAUUUAGAGUUCCUGACAAGGCCGGGUCCUUCCAAACCUCCAUUGAGUUCGCCCAAACCAGAAUGAAGUCCGACCGAACCUCCAUUGAGUCCGACCGAACGUUUUAGCGCUGAAUUCUUGUACGGAAUUAAUGAAAUUGGACGGCUGUGAUUGGUUAAGGUUAGCAGCGAAUUUCGGCCGUCGGAUUGAAUUUGAUGAUAAUGAUGAUCGUUGAUGAUGGUUGAGGAUGGACGGUGAUGAUGGUGGAGCUGGGAAGAUGAAGAGCUGCGAAGGUCGAAGAUGAGGGGAUAAGAAGGAACCGCGUCGAAGAAAGGGAAAAAGAGGAGUACGAAAUGUAAAAAAGGGGGUCUGAUGGUUUCAUUGAUUUUUGUGGGGAUUUUGAUUUCAUUUUAUUUUUUUGUUUAUUUUAUUUUUUUCUUUUUCUUUUCCUUCUUUAUUUAGUUUACUUUUAGUUUUCUCUUUUUCUUUUCUCUUUAAUUCCUCCUCUCUUUUUUUUACUCUUUUUUUUUCUUUAGUUUAUUUUGAAGGGGUAUAAAUAGCUAAAUACCCAAUUUCAAAGGGGGAGGGAAAAUAAUUAGUUUAGUUUUCUAAUUUUUCUAGGGUUUUAGUUUAGCUUAGUUUUUAGAGAGACAAAGUGAGGAAAAUCAAUGGAAAAAUUGGGGCUUUUGAAAUUCAAGGGUGACAACUUGUAUGGAAGGAUCAACCAAUCAAUGAGCAAUUUCUUACUCUCUCCUUA